rnacentral:rRNA from 1 species
UACAGAGGCCUCGAGCGUUAGGCGGAAUCACUGGGCUUAAAGCGUGUGUAGGCGGACUUCUAAGUGCCUUGUGAAAUCCCACGGCUCACCCGUGGAACGGCUGGGCAUACUGGGAGUCUUGAGCCACCUAGGGGCUGCCGGAACAAAUGGUGGAGCGGUGAAAUGCGUAGAUAUCAUUGGAACGCCAACGGUGAAACAGGCAGCUGGGGUGUGCUGACGCUGAGACACGAAAGCCAGGGGAGCGAACGGG